UACGUAGGCAGCGAGCGUUGUUCGGAAUUACUGGGCGUAAAGAGUGUGUAGGCGGUGCUCUAAGUUCGGUGUGAAAUCUCCUGGCUCAACUGGGAGGGUGCGCCGGAAACUGGAGUGCUUGAGUGUGGGAGAGGAAAGCGGAAUUCCUGGUGUAGCGGUGAAAUGCGUAGAUAUCAGGAGGAACGCCUGUGGUGUAGACGGCUUUCUGGACCAUAGCUGACGCUGAGACACGAAAGCGUGGGUAGCAAACAGG
rnacentral:rRNA from 1 species